AAGCAAUGAAGUAAAAUAUUACAUUUAGUUUCGACCUAAAAUAAGAAUCAUCAGUUCCUUGCUUA
rnacentral:tRNA from 1 species